rnacentral:tRNA from 1 species
CACUUAGAAGCUAUGAGGACAGCAACAGCCUUUUAAGCUGUAGACAGGUGACUCCGACCACCCUUAGUGA